AGGAGAGAGGUGGUCAGGCUCCUGAUGUUGGAUCUCAGGCUCUAUGGUUUGGAAUUUUCUUUUGGAGACCUUAACCCAAGAUCCGUCCUUCUUGUGAAACUCCAUCCUAUGUAAUGUGCUCUCAUUGUAGUAAUCAGUGUUUCUCAAAAGUUUUUCUGGCUCAUUUUCAGGGAUUGGAACUUUAAAGCGUUUGAACAGUAGGGUGAAGACCAUCCCAUAUGGUAUGCUAAAUCUGGAAUACCUAUGACAUAUGGAGAUGUAGUUCAACAUGAGCCUAGGGAGGUUUAGGGGAAUCCCUAGCAAGAUGUGGUGCAUGAUGGCUAAGUCUCGCUCCGAAACGAAAUCGAAGCGA
rnacentral:lncRNA from 1 species